rnacentral:rRNA from 1 species
CGGUAUGCGCGACAUAUCCUAGACGCCGGCUUGAGUAAGCCAGGAAGGGGGCUCUAAUCUCACCUCGAGACGAGAACGGGAUGAGGAAGAGUCGGCGGCGGCGGCGGGGGGUUAAGUGCUGGCGCUGGCGCAGGCUGCGCGGCAGUAGAACAGGGAAAAAAGAGAGGGCCGGCCCGGGGAUGUUAAAGCUAAAGUCGUCUGUCCGCAAUAUGAUAGAAACGUCAUACUACAUAUGGACGACUUGCAAUUCUAAUGGGUAGUUGUGUCGACGAAAGGAGCUACCUCCUAGAGGGUCUCGUGACGAUCGUCUCUAACAGUUCUUCCAACGGUUCUCUUCACUAGACUUAAGCAAAAGGGAACACAGUUUCGUCGAGAUGAGGUAACUCCGUAGUGUUUCCCCACAGUAGGCACAGCCGAGACCGGAAGUGGGACGAUCUUUUCGGAACCGUAGUGACACAAGGGCCAAGGGUUUAAACACCUUUCACCUUUAACUAAUGAGACCAACCUGGUCACCGGUACCCUUAGUCAACUCGUUAUUUCCGGAGGAACACUAGAGUAGUACAACGGGGAGUGAUUGACUAGAUUGGAAUUCGAAGACAAGUGCGUAGUUCCUAAGACCAGAACCUAUAGAGCAGUUAACGUUCUUUAACUACAGAGACUCCGACUUGAGGUAGAUUUUUUAUUGAAGUCCACCCUAGGAGAGCCACCAUCAACCAACGUUCUGAGAUAGACGAGAGGUGGAAUAACUGACACUCUUUUAGCCCUCGCUUCCGACCGACCUCUUGGAACCAACACUCCCUAGUAACCUUCUCGAACAACACCUCUUGACGUUUCCUUAGUCGGUCAUACUGGAGGAUUUCAAACCUGGCCCUACCUACUUCGAGGACUCCAAAUUUAAACUGGGACUGGGGUACUCAACAAGGACCUUAUAUAUACCAUCACUACUAGAGAGCAUACACCGAGUGAUGGGUAUAUUUAUGCUAAAAACAACGCUCUCAAACUGCCUAAACAGUAACCGUGUGUAACGUUGAUUCGGUCCUUAUCCUGAAGCAAAAGAGAACCCCUUCACGUUUCGUAACCUCUUUGACGCAGACCUCAUAUAGUUACCGGAUUUACUGUCACUGUACUAAUGCGAUAGGUUCACGACGUUUUUGGAAUCUUCGUAGAGUGAAACCGAGGACGGUGUCAAGAUACCACCGUUAAAGUCCUGCCGUAAAUGACUACUGUCGGACUUUAGAGAUCGACAGUCAACAGGAUACGAACUCAGAUAACUUGAGUGCAAACUACCAACACUCGGGAAUAUAGGUAGUCUUUAUCCGAAGUGUGUCCUACCGGAAUAGUACGAGUAAGUCAGAACAGGCUAAGCACAAGAACACGAUUCCCCACGGUUGAAAAAACGACUGUUCCCCUACUUCCGGGAGAGUAGACGAGGUAAUGACCUCUGUGAGCUCGAACACACGACGUCUCGUUAUUGUCUACGACCCUACGCAAAGUAACGCGCACGGGGUACGAACUAGUUAGAGUGUGAGGCCUAGACACGUGUCCACUGACUACGACCUCACCGGUACGAUCAUGUACGUGACUUCAAUCUCAGAGACUAGUAACUUCCGACGCUGGCCCAGAGAUUCUUCCGACACUUCUCCCAACCACUUAGUCGAGUCACGGUGUGAAGGUUUUUUUCUAGCCAAGUCAUGAGGCGGCUCAGACGUUCGGGCCGGCUUAAUUUUUCUUAAGCGAUGAUUACGACAACUCAAAUUUUGGUAGACGACCCAAGUACGACCUGAAGCCUGCUGAAGUCUGCCACGUGGUGAUCAACACUUGAACGUCUAGCAUCGUCACGUUGAACUAAGAGGUACGCCACAAGUUGUAUUAAUAAACCGACAAACGAAAGCGACAUGAAGACGUUGGACAUUACGAGAGAGAGCUGGGAAAAAAAAGGACUGCACGUAUACAUGCCAUGGAUCG